CACCACCUGCUUGUCAUUUUCUGACCAGUCUGACCAGCAAGUAGUCAAGGAACUUGUCAGGAAAAAGAAAGAGGCUGCUGAUGUUCUUCUGCUUAGGAAAGAUUUGAGAAAGGUUUCUAUUUUCAGUCAAGUUGCAAGGCUUGAUCUCCUGCACCACUGCUUCUUUUUGAUAUUUACAGGUUUUGUUUUGGAAACCCCUCCUUUGGACCAGUAUGUGCUCAGGUCUGAUGGAUAACUAUGUGGCCACCACAGUCCUUACUGCUGAAGGAGCCCUUGGCUAUAAUCGUGGCAAGUGAGAAUUCAGCAGAAAUGGACAGGAGAUCCACAAGGAGUUGGCCAAAUUGGGUGGCAUAGAAAACAUUGAUGUGAAGCAUUGGCUUUUGAGUGAUGAAACUAUAAUGCACAUUGCCUUGGUGGAGGCAGGCAAAAACACAGACUCAGCUCAGCUCUAUCCCGUGUUAGCAAAAAAUACAAAGAAUGCAUGAAUGACAUGGAUUUCAGAGCUCCUGGUCUUACUUUAAAAGCAGCUGUUCUGGGGACAGUUGGACUGAACUUUCCCACAGGGCUUUUUUUCAUGGAGGAGACAGUGAUUCUACUGCUGCCAUUGCAGCAUGCUGGUGGGGAGCGAUGUAUGGCUUUAAGGGUGUAAGUCAAGCCAACUACAAAAAAAUGGAAUACAGAGACAGACUGGAAAAACUAGGAAGAGGCUUAUAUCACCUCUCAUAGAGGAUGAUGUGAGGGAAGGGGAAUUCUAAAAUGAUAUAGGUAGUAGCACUGACACAGACAGCAGCUGCAUACCAUAUCCAUACCACACAUACAAAAUGUGAGACCAUGAAAAAAGGGCAUAAACAUAAAAAUAAUUCCAUUACCAGUGUAGAGGAUAUGAUUUUUGUAGUGCAUUUAUAGCUAAAAUCAUGAAUCGUGAAAAUUCUACAGAUUACACAUUUUUAGAAAAUAUUUAGCUGAGAGACCUGUAAAAUGCUAUUGAAAUGAAUAAAACUAAAGCUUAAUUAAAAUGCAUUUAAUGCAAAUAAACAUGGGACCACAGAUCGAUCGCUUCAUAAGAAA